CCUACGGGAGGCAGCAGUGAGGAAUAUUGGACAAUGGGCGAAAGCCUGAUCCAGCCAUGCCGCGUGCAGGAUGACUGCCCUAUGGGUUGUAAACUGCUUUUAUAUAGGAAGAAAAACUUUCUCGUGAGAAAGCUUGACGGUACUAUAAGAAUAAGGAUCGGCUAACUCCGUGCCAGCAGCCGCGGUAAUACGGAGGAUCCAAGCGUUAUCCGGAAUCAUUGGGUUUAAAGGGUCCGUAGGUGGACAAAUAAGUCAGAGGUGAAAUCCUGCAGCUCAACUGUAGAACUGCCUUCGAUACUGUUUGUCUUGAGUUAUUAUGAAGUGGUUAGAAUGUGUAGUGUAGCGGUGAAAUGCAUAGGUAUUACACAGAAUACCGAUUGCGAAGGCAGAUCACUAAUAAUUAACUGACACUGAGGGACGAAAGCGUGGGUAGCGAACAGGAUUAGAUACCCUGGUAGUCCACGCCGUAAACGAUGGUCACUAGCUGUUUGGACUUCGGUCUGAGUGGCUAAGCGAAAGUGAUAAGUGACCCACCUGGGGAGUACGUUCGCAAGAAUGAAACUCAAAUGAAUUGACGG
rnacentral:rRNA from 1 species